rnacentral:rRNA from 1 species
UACGAAGGGGGCUAGCGUUGCUCGGAAUCACUGGGCGUAAAGCGCACGUAGGCGGAUCUUUAAGUCAGGGGUGAAAUCCUGGAGCUCAACUCCAGAACUGCCUCUGAUACUGGGGAUCUUGAGUCCGGAAGAGGUAAGUGGAACUGCGAGUGUAGAGGUGAAAUUCGUAGAUAUUCGCAAGAACACCAGUGGCGAAGGCGGCUUACUGGUCCGGUACUGACGCUGAGGUGCGAAAGC